rnacentral:rRNA from 1 species
UGGGGAAUAUUGCACAAUGGAGGGAACUCUGAUGCAGCGACGCCGCGUGAACGAAGAAGGCUUUCGAGUCGUAAAUUUUUUUUAUAUGGGAAGAUAAUGACGGUACCAUAAGAAAAAGCCCCGGCUAACUACGUGCCAGCAGCCGCGGUAAUACGUAGGGGGCUAGCGUUGUCCGGAAUCACUGGGGGUAAAGGGUUCGCAGGCGGAAAUGCAAGUCAGGUGUAAAAGGCAGUAGCUUAACUACUGUAAGCAUUUGAAACUGCAUAUCUUGAGAAGAGUAGGGGUAAGUGGAAUUUUUAGUGUAGCGGUGAAAUGCGUAGAUAUUAAAAAGAAUACCGGUGGCGAAGGCGACUUACUGGGCUCAUUCUGACGCUGAGGAACGAAAGCGUGGGUAGCAAACAGG